UCAUCGGUUACAAUUCCCAGCCCACCAAUCAACUUUUCUUCUGCGUCAAUUUUAUUAGUCGAAUGGGCAGUGCCUUGAAAGUAACAGAAUUAAAAAAUUGGGGAUAACUCAUAUCUAAAAACCAAAAUAGAUUUCUAAAGGAAAACAAAACCAAAAAUAGUAAAGAAAUGAACCAUCUUCCUUUCCAUUUCGCUAAUUCGAUCAUUACAUCACAAACACACCAGAGGCAGUCCUGUUUUCCUCCUGUUGAUCUUGGGUAUGCUUCCGUUUACGGCUCGAUCCCUCUAUGACAAUCUGAGUUCAUCGAAGUCCAAAUAGUCAUAGUUCUUUCGGUCUCAGUAACCUCAUUCUUCAUCCCUCUCAUUGUAGUCCAUGUCAAUCUUGAUUUAAUAGUUCUUUCACUCUCUUCAGAGCCUCUUCUAUCCAAUAUUUGGGGUUUUCAUAACGCCUACCUUCCUCUGCCAAACUUCAUUAGCUUUCUAAGGUUUCAAACAUGCUCGCGCUUUUUCCAUGGUUGAUUUUAACACGCUCAUUCAGUGCCGCAGAUGUUAGCUAGAGUUGGAGCUCGCCGGAGGUUAAAUCAUAUUAUCAAACUAUUGGUCGAUAUAUAAAGGUUUUAAAGCAUGAUAUGAGCCUUGUAAGUUUUUUUUUAAGGGACAGCUUGAAUAUGUUUGAAAAGUUUAAAAUUUGAUGAAAUUUUAUGUCUCGGUUUUAAAUGAUUACAAGUACUCAAGUCUAGUAAUACCUCGUACCCUGUUCCGGCGUCGGAUACGGGUAAGGGGAGUUACAUUUAGUGGUAUCAAAACUAUGGUUUAGUCGGUUCUCGGACUAAUCUAGCAUGUGUAAGAGUUAAGCUAUACAUGCCAUAUUACUACCUGUGAUAGUGUGAUGCCUCCCGAUCCCGAUGAAAUAGUUCUGUUGAGACAGAAGUGUUUUCCAACCGAGCUACCAUCGACAGUGUAAAAAGGGGUUAAGUAAGUUCAUAUAAUUUGGUGGAUAUAUUGGUGUACUUAAAAAUUGAUCUUGGUCACUUGUGAUGAUAUGUGUGAGAUCAAGUGUAAAAUGAAAUAGACAUAGAGAAAUAUAGAAAAGUGAAAAGAAACGAAAGUUUACAUCGUUAUAAA